AACCAGCUCUUCGAGUGGUGUCCAUGAUUAUUGAGCUUAAAGCGUUCGUAGCCGGUUUAGUAGGUCCCUGCUUAAAUCCGGCCGCCCAACGGUCGGCCUGGUAGGGAUACCGCUUUACUUGGGGACGGGAGACGGCAACGGUAUUCCACAGGUAAGGGUGAAAUCUAAUGAUCUGUGGAGGACCACCAGUGGCGAAGGCGGUUGUCGAGAACGUGCCCGACGGUGAGGGACGAAACCCAGGGGAGCAAAUCGGAUUAGAUACCCCCGUA
rnacentral:rRNA from 1 species